rnacentral:snoRNA from 1 species
AUUAUGUCCAAUCUAAUUCUGCAUAAUGUUUUAUUUAUGUAGUCUCGCUUUUGGACCAAAGUAAACUCCCAAAUCUUUUAUUAUCCUUGUGCUUGUGGCAACAAAACCAGUCCAAUGCACACGAGAAACGUAAAAGAACAUUA